rnacentral:rRNA from 1 species
UACGUAGGGGGCUAGCGUUGUCCGGAAUCAUUGGGCGUAAAGCGCGUGUAGGCGGCCCGGUAAGUCCGCUGUGAAAGUCGGGGGCUCAACCCUCGGAUGCCGGUGGAUACUGUCGGGCUCGAGUACGGAAGAGGCGAGUGGAAUUCCUGGUGUAGCGGUGAAAUGCGCAGAUAUCAGGAAGAACACCUAUGGCGAAGGCAGCACUCUGGGACGGUACUGACGCUGAGGAGCGAAAGCGUGGGGAGCGAACAGG